rnacentral:lncRNA from 1 species
UGAAUCAGAAAUCCUCAGGACCCAACCCUUUGGUAUUGUCUAGCAGAAAUCAAGAGACAAACUCUUGAAAUCUCCUCGAGCAGUAUGCUGAUUUGGGGAUUAGACCUCCAUCAUGGGCUGUAAUCAUUCUCCUCCAAACGUGCAAACUUGGUUAACGUGCUUCAUUUAAUUAUUUAACAUCUAAGCUACUUCUAAUGAUGUCGUUCUGCAUGCAUCUAUAUGGGUAUAAAUUCAUUUUCAUCAAGUUCU